UUAGAUUAUGCAUACUCUAAUUUCUUAAAGUUGUUGUUUUUACUCUUCCCUAGAGGCUUUCAUACUCCAAUUGGUCAUACAAAUGGAACCAGUGACAAACAUGCUAGACUUCUUUUACUGGGAUCCACCAGAUCGACCUUGUAAAUAGCUCAUAACUGCUAAACUAUGCAAUAUUACUUCUAUGUUGGAUUCUGAAGACCCCUGGACCUUCUUCUUAUCCCCUUGUGGGCUAUAUUCAUAGCAAUCCUGAUGACCUUAUAAUUUGGCCCAUGCAUUCUUAACUGUUUCUUUGGCUUUGUAUCCUCCAGAUUUAAAAGCUGUGCAGCUACCAAGAUGAUAAUGCGAGGUGCCUCUAAAGACCUUUAGAUGGACCCUCUGUAGAGUAACUCUAACUGGUGAUCACAACUAUGACCCUCUUCAGCUGUGUUAUCAUCCUUCUUGAAACAUGGCAUAAAAUUUGAACACCUCAAGCAAUCCAGAGCACAAGGUCAUUUGACUCCAAAAGUUAUGGACAAAACCAUUUGCUGUGCAGACUAUGCUGUUUUGGCAAAAAGAAAACCUUUACAGAAG
rnacentral:lncRNA from 1 species